GGAAGAGACAGACCAGGGAUAGUGUUUCUAUGUUAGGAUCAUGGCUUUACUGGGCCAUUCCAAAAAGACACCAGGCCCUGUCUGUGAAGAGCUUCUUCCAGAUUUUCAUUGGCCUCUUCCAGAAUGCAAACUGCUGGCAGACGUUACCCUUGUUAAAUGCACUAGAUUUAUUUUAUUUUAUUUUAGCCUGGCUAAGAGUGUUUAGAUCUUUACCUAGGAAUGGAAAGCUGAAGGCUGUUCAUCAGAAGUGGUAAUGGAAGGAGGCUGCAGGGUGGCUCACAGGUCACACCCUACAGGACCUAGAGGAAAUGCAAUUAGUGCCAUCACCUUCAGAGAAGCCACUUAGUCGCUUAAAGAAAAAUCUACUGCUUCUUUGGGAGAUAAAAAGCAUCCCUUCCUGAUUUCUUGUGAGGAGGUGCUUUGGAGAGAGACUAUCUACCAAGAGAAAUACUGUUGGGCUGGUCAAACAUUUUUAGAUGCCAGGUACUGAAAAACAGAAGGGUGCUUUCAUCAGAAGAAAAGUAGCUCGCAAACAAGUUGCAGGCUGUCUCUUGGACUCCAUGGAAGCCAGCUAGUUCUGGGAGACCCUUAAGUUCACAGAGCACAGAUAAAGGCUAAGGAAGUGCUUGAGAAACCCAGGAUGAAUAAUGCACUUAUCCAAAACCAAGAAUGUUUUUCUAGUAACAGUUUCUCAAUAUUCACUUUUUGUGUUACUUAAAUCAGUCUAAAGGAGUUGCAUAUUUGCAACUAGUCUAGUCUUUGCUAGGCUGUGUAGGGAUGGAGUCAGGAAAGCCAAGGCGCAGCUUGAACUAAACUUGGCAAGGGAUUCCAAGAAGAACAAGGAUGGCUUCUACAGGUACCUCAACAAGAAAAGGAAAGUCCAGGACAGCGUACCCUGACAGUGAGUGACACAGACAAGCUGAUAACAACAGACGAGGAGAAGGCUGAGGUACUUAACAGCUUUUUUGCCUCGGUCUUCUCUGAUAACUGCUCACCACACAGCCUUCAAAUGUCUGGUUUGGUAGGAGAGGAUCCGGGAAGGAACGUCCCUCUCACUGUAAGCAAUAAUCAAGUUUGUUACCACCUGAGGAACAUGAACAUCCACAAGCCUCUGGGUCCCGAAGAGAUGUAUCUCAGAAUCCUGAGGAAAUUGGCUGAUUUAGUUGCCAAGACACUCCUAGUGAUAUUUGAAAAGUCCUGGCAGUCAGGUGAAGUCUCUGGUGACUGGAAAAAAGGCAACAUCACAUCUAUUUUUAAGAAGAGUAAAAAGGAUGACCCCAUGAAUUACUGACCUGUUAGUCUCACCUCUGUGCUGGGGAAGAUCAUGGAGCAGAUCCUCCUGGAAGCUAUUCUUAGCCACAUGGAAAGCAGGGAGAUGAUACAGGAGAAUCAACAUGCCUUCACCAAGGGUCCUUGUGGCCCUCCUCUGAACCUAUUCCAACAGGUCUAUGUCUCUGUUCUGCUGGAGACCCCAGGCCUGGACGCAGCACUUCAGGUGGGACCUCAUGAGAGCAGAGCAGAGGGGGACAAUUACCCCCCUUGCCCUUUUGUUUGCCCCUUUUUUCAGGGGCAUGAGCUGCUGGCUCAUGUCGAACUUUUCAUCCACCAAUUCCCCCAAGUCCUUCAACACAGGGCAAUUCAAAAUAAUUUAUCCUUUUGCCUAGAACAAAGCAAGGAAUCUGAAAAUUGCCCCACUCAGUGUGUUAUUGGGAUUAACGCAGGAUUUGCUGUUAGCUGUUGCUAUCAAGUGAUCG
ensembl:lncRNA